AGCGAACGCUAGCGGCGGGCCUAACACAUGCAAGUCGAGCGCAUACCUUCGGGUAUGAGCGGCGGACGGGUGAGUAACGCGUAGGUCAUCUACCCUUUGGUGGGGGAUAACCCAGGGAAACUUGGGCUAAUACCGCACGAGGUCUACGGAUCAAAGCCUUCGGGCGCCAGAGGAUGAGCCUGCGUCGCAUUACCUAGUUGGCGGGGUAACGGCCCACCAAGGGGACGAUGCGUAGCUGGUCUGAGAGGAUGAUCAGCCACACUGGGACUGAGACACGGCCCAGACUCCUACGGGAGGCAGCAGUGGGGAAUAUUGCGCAAUGGGGGAAACCCUGACGCAGCCACGCCGCGUGGGUGAUGAAGGCCUUCGGGUUGUAAAGCCCUGUCGGGAGGGACGAAUUCUUGACGGUACCUCCAAAGAAAGCACCGGCUAACUCCGUGCCAGCAGCCGCG
rnacentral:rRNA from 1 species